GCAAGCCUGGGAUGUUCGCGAGUCGAUACAGUCCCUGAGCCGAUAUUUUAUAUCUUGGGUAGCGUUAGUCAGUAAGUGGUGUGCAUGUCCGCUCGACGGAAAGCCUGAUCUUACGCAACAAAACCCACCUUGAACCACCGGUUCAAGGCUAAAUUGACAGCGGCAUUCUGGGUGGUUA
rnacentral:other from 1 species